AUCUUUCUAGCCGCCUAAAGGAAGUAUUCAAAGAUAAGAUAACGCUAUGCGCACACAAGCUAACUUCAGGUAUGCAGUUAGUUCUCAAGCGAUUCCUUCGGAUCUUAGGUGCGACCUUAGGGAGCUUGUUUUGGCAGCUACUCUCUUAUAGUUAUGUGUCCUGGUUUCCGAGUUCUAGUUCAAGGCAGGGCAGGACGGGACUCACGGGGGUUGGGGGGAGCCUUCCCCCAGGGAAAACCUAAUAAGACUCAUUCUAAUACUUGAGUUCAAGCUCCUACUUCGAAGUAAGCCUAUGGGUUGUUUCGAAGCUUAGUAGCUAAAGCGUACUUGCGUGUUAAAGGGGCGGAUUUGGGCUACUAAGUGGAACCAGACCAUUCAACUUGCCAUUUGCACUCUCCUAGGGUGCGAUCGUAGGAAGCUCUAUUAGCGAAUGCAAUUCCCCGCCCGAUAAGACUGAUCAUGCCCUGCUGCUUGGCUUGGAAUCAAACUAGCCUAUCAUGCCCUUUCUUCAUUCCUAUAUGGACCCAUAUUCCUAUGUUCUUCCAAUGUUUACUGUAUUACUGGGAUUCCUAUUUACUGAACCAUA
rnacentral:lncRNA from 1 species